rnacentral:rRNA from 1 species
AACGUAGGGGGCGAGCGUUGCCCGGAUUCACUGGGCGUAAAGCGGGUGUAGGCGGUUCUUUAAGUCGGAUGUGAAAUCCUACGGCUCAACCGUGGAACUGCAUCCGAUACUGGGGAACUUGAGGACGGUAGAGGUCGGUGGAAUUCCAGGUGUACCGGUGAAAUGGGCAGAUAUCUGGAGGAACACCGGUGGCGAAGGCGGGUCUCUGGGCCGAUACUGACGCUGAGGAGCGAAAGCGUGGGGAGCGAACAGG